GACGAACGCUGGCGGCGUGCUUAACACAUGCGAGUCGAACGGAAAGGCCCUGCUUGCAGGGUACUCGAGUGGCGAACGGGUGAGUAACACGUGGGUGAUCUGCCCUGCACUUCGGGAUAAGCCUGGGGAACUGGGUCUAAUACCGGAUAGGAGCCAUUUUUAGUGUGAUGGUUGGAAAGUUUUUUCGGUGUAGGACGAGCUCGCGGCCUAUCAGCUUGUUGGUGGGGUAAUGGCCUACCAAGGCGGCGACGGGUAGCCGGCCUGAGAGGGUGGACGGCCACAUUGGGACUGAGAUACGGCCCAGACUCCUACGGGAGGCAGCAGUGGGGAAUAUUGCACAAUGGGCGCAAGCCUGAUGCAGCGACGCCGCGUGGGGGAUGACGGCCUUCGGGUUGUAAACUCCUUUCGCUAGGGACGAAGCUUUUUGUGACGGUACCUGGAUAAGAAGCACCGGCUAACUACGUG
rnacentral:rRNA from 1 species